rnacentral:rRNA from 1 species
AACGAACGCUGGCGGCAGGCCUAACACAUGCAAGUCGAGCGAGGACUUCGGUUCUAGCGGCGGACGGGUGGGUAACGCGUGGGAAUGUGCCCUUCUCUACGGAAUAGCCCUGGGAAACUGGGAGUAAUACCGUAUACGCCCUAUUGGGGAAAGAUUUAUCGGAGAAGGAUCAGCCCGCGUUGGAUUAGGUAGUUGGUGAGGUAAUGGCCUACCAAGCCGACGAUCCAUAGCUGGUUUGAGAGGAUGAUCAGCCACACUGGGACUGAGACACGGCCCAGACUCCUACGGGAGGCAGCAGUGGGGAAUCUUAGACAAUGGGGGCAACCCUGAUCUAGCCAUGCCGCGUGAGUGAUGAAGGCCUUAGGGUUGUAAAGCUCUUUCAGCUGGGAAGAUAAUGACGGUACCAGCAGAAGAAGCCCCGGCUAACUCCGUG